AUUGAACGCUGGCGGCAGGCCUAACACAUGCAAGUCGAGCGGAUGAAGGGAGCUUGCUCCUGGAUUCAGCGGCGGACGGGUGAGUAAUGCCUAGGAAUCUGCCUGGUAGUGGGGGAUAACGUCCGGAAACGGGCACUAAUACCGCAUACGUCCUGAGGGAGAAAGUGGGGGAUCUUCGGACCUCACGCUAUCAGAUGAGCCUAGGUCGGAUUAGCUAGUUGGUGGGGUAAAGGCCUACCAAGGCGACGAUCCGUAACUGGUCUGAGAGGAUGAUCAGUCACACUGGAACUGAGACACGGUCCAGACUCCUACGGGAGGCAGCAGUGGGGAAUAUUGGACAAUGGGCGCAAGCCUGAUCCAGCCAUACCGCGUGGGUGAAGAAGGCCU
rnacentral:rRNA from 1 species